UAACACCGGCGCCCCAAGUGGCAAUCAUAUUUAUUGGGCCUAAAGCAUCCGUAGCCGGAUUUGUAAAUUUUCUGUGAAAUCUCUUGGCUUAACCAAGAGGCAUGCAGAAAAGACUGCAUUUCUAGAGACCGGGAGGAGUUAGAGGUAUUCUGUGGGGAGCGGUAAAAUGUUAUAAUCCUCGGAAGACCACCAAUGGCGAAGGCAUCUAACUAGAACGGUUCUGACGGUGAGGGAUGAAGGCUAGGGGAGCAAAACGGAUUAGAUACCCGAGUGGUCCUAGCUGUAAACGCUGUAUGCAAGGUGUUGCGGAUUCUAGUGAAUCUGCAGUAUCGAAGAGAAGUCGUUAAGCAUACCGCCUGGGAAGUACGGUCGCAAGACUG
rnacentral:rRNA from 1 species